rnacentral:rRNA from 1 species
UACGAGGGGGGCGAGCGUUGUUCGGAAUUAUUGGGCGUAAAGGGCGCGCAGGCGGUUUGUUAAGUCUGCUGUGAAAUCCCCGAGCUCAACUUGGGAAUUGCAGUGGAUACUGGCAAGCUGGAGUACGGCAGAGGGGGAUGGAAUUCCGCGUGUAGCAGUGAAAUGCGUAGAUAUGCGGAGGAACACCGAUGGCGAAGGCAAUCCCCUGGGCCUGUACUGACGCUCAUGCACGAAAGCGUGGGGAGCAAACAGG